rnacentral:lncRNA from 1 species
AUGAAUUUUUUACAAAGAAAACUACAUAGUGGUCCAUCAAACAAACACUGAACCAACUUUCCAGAAUUUUAAAUUGGAUUCAAUCACAAUGGAACCUUGUUCAACUAAUGUAAACCAAUUCGACUCCACACGGUCUCACCAAGCUAACAGACUUCAAAACUAACAGAUAAGACUAGGAGAUGUAUUUAACAUCGACUCCACACGGUCUCACCAAGCUAAUAGACUUCAAAACUAACAGAUAAGACUAGGAGAUGUAUUUAACAGAUGAACAACAGCAUAUCUAGAGUUCAUGACCACUACACAUACAUAAUUAAACCAAACAUUUUGCUAAAAGUCAUCGUAUUAAUGUGCAGCAAAGUGCUGCAAGUAUUUGCAGGAGAUAAACAUAUUACCGAAUAUAACAAGCUUAAAAGAUCAAUCAUGGCUUCUAUGGAUAAACAAACACGCAAUUGCUCGACCACCAUCAUAAGUAAAGCUUUACACAUGACCCUCUGGUUUAAACUACGUCACAAGAGUCACAACACACAAUUUUCACCCUUCAAUUUGAACUAAUUAAGCUUGAGCCUCUGGUUUAAACUACGUCACAAGGGUCACAACACACAAUUUUCACCAUUCAAUUUGAACUAAUUAAGCUUGAGAUAAAGUGAAAUCCCACGGAAGGAAGCGCAACAAAAGUUAGAGCAGAAUCAUUGCUAUUAUAUCAAGAGAUACUGUGAUUUAAACAAAACACAUCAAUACACAAUACAUAGAGUAAUCAACAUUAUCACGUUUAAUUUAACUUCAAUCACGAUCCAACACAAAAUCAUAUAUAAUAUACAUAUUUAGAGCUUAAGAGGAUUUAGACAGAAUUCUUGCAAAAAUAAAUUAAUUAGUCAAUCAAAGAAUUUAGACAAAAUAGCCAUCAUUUCUUGCAAAUCAAAGGACAAUAUAGAUUUAUGAUAUGCACCUUGAGAUCAAAUAGCACUUGGAUCCAAAUAAUAUGGAACAGAUACCUCGAUGCAUAAUCUCGAACAGAAACCUCGACGAGACUGUCAACGACAUCCUCGCUCACCUCAUCUAGGGACCCGACUGAAAAUCAGAAGCAAACAAGAAAUCGACAUGAAAAUCGAAGAGAUUCGAACUCGAAAUGAGAAUGAAACAAGUCCGUUCGAUCCCUCUAUUCUCACUAUUUUUCAGCUCUCCUAUUUUCCUGUUCCUGUUGCCCCUUUUUCUGUUUCAAUUUCAAUUCCCUUCUCCUGCUAUUUUUGUUUCGUUUUAGUUCAGAAGAGAGGUUAAAGCUCGUCAUGGGUGUCUGUUUGUUGCUGUGUGAUUGAUUUUCCGGCGAGGGGUCGUGUGGUUGAAAAGGUAGGAUGAUGGGAGGGGUAUCCGUAGUGUAUCCGUAUAUGUGUGUUUGUAUCUGCGUGGAUUUGUUAAGAAGAAAUCACAGCCGCGCAGCCCUCUCUUCCAGGCGUCUCCAGGCGUGUAUGUGUUCGUAUUCUUCAUAAUAAAAGCAGGCUACCUUCGUCUAUCUAUAUCGUGUGUAAAGGUUUUUAGGUUAGGAAAUUCAUUUAGG